ensembl:snoRNA small nucleolar RNA U3
AAGACUAUACUUUCAGGGAUCAUUUCUAUAGUACCUAACUGGAGAAAUGUGUCUCAAAAAUGUUUAGUCUCGCUGAUCACGAUGAAGAGCUGCGAUACUUCUCUCUGAGCGCGAAACGAGUACAAAGUUAUGACUUCGGUCAUGUGCUCCGUACUAUUGAUGACCGUUCACUGUCUCUUCGGGGGCAGCGAGGGGAGGAGUAUGAUCAGAGUGACA